CACGUAGGGUGCGAGCGUUGUCCGGAAUUAUUGGGCGUAAAGAGCUCGUAGGCGGUGUGUCGCGUCGGCCGUGAAAACCUGCAGCUUAACUGUGGGCUUGCGGUCGAUACGGGCAUCACUGGAGUUCGGCAGGGGAGACUGGAAUUCCUGGUGUAGCGGUGAAAUGCGCAGAUAUCAGGAGGAACACCGGUGGCGAAGGCGGGUCUCUGGGCAUGAUCUGACGCUGAGGAGCGAAAGUGUGGGGAGCGAACAGG
rnacentral:rRNA from 1 species